rnacentral:rRNA from 1 species
GGUGAACGCUGGCGGCGUGCUUGACACAUGCAAGUCGAACGGUAUGUGGCAACACAUAGAGUGGCGAACGGGUGAGUAACACGUGGGAACGUAUCUUUUGCAGGGGGAUAACUGACCGAAAGGACAGCUAAUACCGCAUAAGUCCGAGAGGAGAAAGGUGCAACAGCAUCGGCAGAAGAGCGGCCCGCGGUCCAUCAGCUAGUUGGUGAGGUAAGGGCUUACCAAGGCGACGACGGAUAGCCGGCGUGAGAGCGUGGCCGGCCACAAGGACACUGAGAUACGGGUCCUACUCCUACGGGAGGCAGCAGUGCGGAAUUUUAGAUAAUGGAGGGAACUCUGAUCUAGCGACGCCGCGUGC